rnacentral:rRNA from 1 species
AAUUAUUAUUAAAUUUUAAUUUUUAUUUAUUUUAAUUAAAAUAAUAUAAAUUUAAUUAUAUUAAUAGAAUAGAUUAUUUUUAUUAUAGUUAAUUAGUACUGAGGGGGAAUUCUUUAAAAAGUAUUAAAGAAAAGUUAGUUUUGUACCUUGUGCAUCAGGGUUUAUUAAAUAAUUUAUAAUUAAGUAUUUUUUUCGAAUUUAAAAGAGCUAAAUUUUUAUAAAUUUUAUUGUUUUAUAAAUAUUUAAAAUAAAGAUUUAGUAAUGAAAUGUUAUUCGUUUUUAAAUAUAUCUAAUUUUUUAAGAAAAAAAUUUAAUUUUAUUGUUAAAUUUUAAUUGUUUAAUUUUUAAUAUUUUUAAUUUAACAUUAAAUAAUUUAAGGGAUAAGCUUUAAAUUAAAUUAUUAUAAUUUAUUAUAAGUUUAAUUAUAAUUUAUAGGAUUAAAAAUUUCUAUUAUUAAAAAUUUAUUAAAAUUUGUUAUUUUAUAUUAAUAUUUAUAUUAAAUUUAAUUUUUUUAUUAAAAUUAAUAAUUGAAUAAUUUACUUUUUGUAAUAAUGAUAAAAUUAGUAUUGUGUAUAUAUAUAUAAAUAUAUAUAUUAAAGGUUAGGUUAGAUAAAGGAAUUCGGCAAAUAUAUUUUUCACCUGUUUAUUAAAAACAUCUCUUUUUGAAAAUAAUUUAAAGUAGGGCCUGCCCACUGAGUAUUUGAAGGGCCGCAGUAUUUUGACUGUGCAAAGGUAGCAUAAUCAUUAGUUUUUUAAUUGAAAGCUUGUAUGAAUGGUUUGAUGAGAAAAUAACUUUCUAUAUCUAAAUUUUUAAGAACUUUAUUUUUAAGUUAAAAAGCUUAAAUUUUUUUAAAAGACGAGAAGACCCUAUAGAGUUUCAUUAAUUUUUAAAUUUAAAUUUAUAGAAUUAAAUAAUUUUAAUUUAAAUAUUAAUUUGAUUGGGGUGAUUGAAAAAUUUAAUGAACUUUUUCUAUGUAUAAACAUAAAUUUAUGAAUAUUUGAUCCAUAUAAAUGAUUAAAAGAUUAAAUUACCUUAGGGAUAACAGCGUUAUUUUUUUUUAGAGUUCAAAUCGAAAAAAAGGAUUGCGACCUCGAUGUUGGAUUAAAGUUAAUUUUAGGUGCAGAAGCUUAAAAAUUUGGUCUGUUCGACCAUUAAAACUUUACAUGAUCUGAGUUUAAACCGGUGUAAGCCAGGUUGGUUUCUAUCUUUAUAAAGUUAAUAAAUUUUAGUACGAAAGGACCAUAUUUA